AUUGAACGCUGGCGGCAGGCCUAACACAUGCAAGUCGAACGAGUGGCGGACGGGUGAGUAAUGUCUGGGAAACUGCCUGAUGGAGGGGGAUAACUACUGGAAACGGUAGCUAAUCCCGCAUACCAUCGGAUGUGCCGAGAUGGGCAUAGCUAGUAGGUGGGGUAAAGGCUCACCUAGGCGACGAUCCCUAGCUGGUCUGAGAGGAAGACCAGGCACCCUGUAACUGAGACACGGUACAGACUCCGACGGGAGGCAGCAGUGGGGAAUAUUGCACAAUGGGGGAAAGCCUGAUGCAGGCAUGUCGCGUGAAUGAAGAAGGCCCUAGGGUUGGAAAGUACUUUCAGCGGGGAGGCGGUACCCGAAGAAGAAGCCCCGGCUAACUCCGUGCCAGCAGCCGCGGUAAUUC
rnacentral:rRNA from 1 species